rnacentral:rRNA from 1 species
GCAGCCGCGGUAAUUCCAGCUCCAAUAGCGUAUAUUAAAGUUGUUGCAGUUAAAAAGCUCGUAGUUGAAUUUCGGGAUCAAUUAAUUGGUCGUGCCUCUGGUACGUACUGAUUUUAUUGGUUUCUCCCUUCUGACGAACCAUGAUGUCAUUAAUUUGAUGUCGUGGAGAAUCAGGACUGUUACUUUGAAAAAAUUAGAGUGUUUAAAGCAAGCUAACGCUUGAAUACAUUAGCAUGGAAUAAUGAAAUAGGACGUUUGAUCCUAUUUUGUUGGUUUCUAGGAUCGACGUAAUGAUUAAUAGGGGUAGUUGGGGGCAUUAGUAUUCAAUUGUCAGAGGUGAAAUUCUUGGAUUUAUUGAAGACUAACUACUGCGAAAAGCAUUUGCCAAGGAUGUUUUCAUUAAUCAAGAACGAAAGUUAGGGGAUCGAAGACGAUCAGAUACCGUCGUAGUCUUAACCAUAAACUAUGCCGACUAGGGAUCGGAUGAUGUUAAUUUUUAAUGACUCAUUCGGCGCCUUAA